GACGAACGCUGGCGGCGUGCCUAAUACAUGCAAGUAGAACGCACAGUUUAUACCGUAGCUUGCUCCACCAUAGACUGUGAGUUGCGAACGGGUGAGUAACGCGUAGGUAACCUGCCUGGUAGCGGGGGAUAACUAUUGGAAACGAUAGCUAAUACCGCAUAAUAUUGAUUAUUGCAUGAUAAUUAAUUGAAAGGUGCAAUUGCACCACUACCAGAUGGACCUGCGUUGUAUUAGCUAGUAGGUGAGGUAACGGCUCACCUAGGCGACGAUACAUAGCCGACCUGGGAGGGUGAUCGGCCACCCUGGGACUGAGACACGGCCCAGACUCCUACGGGAGGCAGCAGUAGGGAAGCUUCGGCAAUGGACGAAAGUCUGACCGAGCAACGCCGCGUGAGUGAAGAAGGUUUUCGGAUCGUAAAGCUCUGUUGUAAGAGAAGAACGGGUGUGAGAGUGGAAAGUUCACACUGUGACGGUAUCUUACCAGAAAGGGACGGCUAACUACGUG
rnacentral:rRNA from 1 species